rnacentral:rRNA from 1 species
GCGGUAAUACGUAGGGUGCAAGCGUUAAUCGGAAUUACUGGGCGUAAAGCGUGCGCAGGCGGUUGUGUAAGUCAGAUGUGAAAUCCCCGGGCUCAACCUGGGAAUUGCAUUUGAGACUGCACGGCUAGAGUGUGUCAGAGGGGGGUAGAAUUCCACGUGUAGCAGUGAAAUGCGUAGAUAUGUGGAGGAAUACCGAUGGCGAAGGCAGCCCCCUGGGAUAACACUGACGCUCAUGCACGAAAGCGUGGGGAGCAAACAGGAUUA